rnacentral:rRNA from 1 species
CUUGCUUGGUGGAUCAGUGGCGAACGGGUGAGUAACACGUGAGCAACCUGCCCUGGACUCUGGGAUAAGCGCUGGAAACGGCGUCUAAUACUGGAUAUGAGCCUCUUCCGCAUGGUGGGGGUUGGAAAGAUUUUUUGGUCUGGGAUGGGCUCGCGGCCUAUCAGCUUGUUGGUGAGGUAAUGGCUCACCAAGGCGUCGACGGGUAGCCGGCCUGAGAGGGUGACCGGCCACACUGGGACUGAGACACGGCCCAGACUCCUACGGGAGGCAGCAGUGGGGAAUAUUGCACAAUGGGCGAAAGCCUGAUGCAGCAACGCCGCGUGAGGGAUGACGGCCUUCGGGUUGUAAACCUCUUUUAGCAGGGAAGAAGCGAAAGUGACGGUACCUGCAGAAAAAGCGCCGGCUAACU